UAUGUAGNUNAUGAGNAGGAGAAAGGNUGAGUAAUGCAUCGGAACGUGCCCAGUCGUGGGGGAUAACGCAGCGAAAGCUGCGCUAAUACCGCAUACGAUCUAUGGAUGAAAGCGGGGGACCGUAAGGCCUCGCGCGAUUGGAGCGGCCGAUGUCAGAUUAGGUAGUUGGUGGGGUAAAGGCUCACCAAGCCAACGAUCUGUAGCUGGUCUGAGAGGACGACCAGCCACACUGGGACUGAGACACGGCCCAGACUCCUACGGGAGGCAGCAGUGGGGAAUUUUGGACAAUGGGCGCAAGCCUGAUCCAGCAAUGCCGCGUGCAGGAAGAAGGCCUU
rnacentral:rRNA from 1 species